rnacentral:rRNA from 1 species
GUACUUGGUGUUACUGCGAAGGGGGGACGGAGAAGGCUAUGUUGGCCGGGCGACGGUUGUCCCGGUUUAAGCGUGUAGGCUGGUUUUCCAGGCAAAUCCGGAAAAUCAAGGCUGAGGCGUGAUGACGAGGCACUACGGUGCUGAAGCAACAAAUGCCCUGCUUCCAGGAAAAGCCUCUAAGCAUCAGGUAACAUCAAAUCGUACCCCAAACCGACACAGGUGGUCAGGUAGAGAAUACCAAGGCGCUUGAGAGAACUCGGGUGAAGGAACUAGGCAAAAUGGUGCCGUAACUUCGGGAGAAGGCACGCUGACACGUAGGUGAAGUGAUUUACUCAUGGAGCUGAAGUCAGUCGAAGAUACCAGCUGGCUGCAACUGUUUAUUAAAAACACAGCACUGUGCAAACACGAAAGUGGACGUAUACGGUGUGACGCCUGCCCGGUGCCGGAAGGUUAAUUGAUGGGGUCAGCGCAAGCGAAGCUCCUGAUCGAAGCCCCGGUAAACGGCGGCCGUAACUAUAACGGUCCUAAGGUAGCGAAAUUCCUUGUCGGGUAAGUUCCGACCUGCACGAAUGGCGUAAUGAUGGCCAGGCUGUCUCCACCCGAGACUCAGUGAAAUUGAACUCGCUGUGAAGAUGCAGUGUACCCGCGGCAAGACGGAAAGACCCCGUGAACCUUUACUAUAGCUUGACACUGAACAUUGAGCCUUGAUGUGUAGGAUAGGUGGGAGGCUUUGAAGUGUGGACGCCAGUCUGCAUGGAGCCGACCUUGAAAUACCACCCUUUAAUGUUUGAUGUUCUAACGUGGACCCGUAAUCCGGGUUGCGGACAGUGUCUGGUGGGUAGUUUGACUGGGGCGGUCUCCUCCUAAAGAGUAACGGAGGAGCACGAAGGUUGGCUAAUCCUGGUCGGACAUCAGGAGGUUAGUGCAAUGGCAUAAGCCAGCUUGACUGCGAGCGUGACGGCGCGAGCAGGUGCGAAAGCAGGUCAUAGUGAUCCGGUGGUUCUGAAUGGAAGGGCCAUCGCUCAACGGAUAAAAGGUACUCCGGGGAUAACAGGCUGAUACCGCCCAAGAGUUCAUAUCGACGGCGGUGUUUGGCACCUCGAUGUCGGCUCAUCACAUCCUGGGGCUGAAGUAGGUCCCAAGGGUAUGGCUGUUCGCCAUUUAAAGUGGUACGCGAGCUGGGUUUAGAACGUCGUGAGACAGUUCGGUCCCUAUCUGCCGUGGGCGCUGGAGAACUGAGGGGGGCUGCUCCUAGUACGAGAGGACCGGAGUGGACGCAUCACUGGUGUUCGGGUUGUCAUGCCAAUGGCACUGCCCGGUAGCUAAAUGCGGAAGAGAUAAGUGCUGAAAGCAUCUAAGCACGAAACUUGCCCCGAGAUGAGUUCUCCCUGAGACUUAGAGUCUCCUGAAGGAACGUUGAAGACGACGACGUUGAUAGGCCGGGUGUGUAAGCGCAGCGAUGCGUUGAGCUAACCGGUACUAAUGAACCGUGAGGCUUAACCUUACAACGCCGAAG